GGUUAUAUGGUAAAGUGGUUAAUAUUUUAUGUUCUUGAAUAUAGAGAAAGAGAGAGAUCUGAGUUCGAUUCUCAGUAGAACUU